rnacentral:rRNA from 1 species
UACGGAGGGUGCAAGCGUUAUCCGGAAUCACUGGGCGUAAAGGGUGCGUAGGCGGGUCUUUAAGUCAGGGGUGAAAUCCUGGAGCUCAACUCCAGAACUGCCUUUGAUACUGAAGAUCUUGAGUUCGGGAGAGGUGAGUGGAACUGCGAGUGUAGAGGUGAAAUUCGUAGAUAUUCGCAAGAACACCAGUGGCGAAGGCGGCUCACUGGCCCGAUACUGACGCUGAGGCACGAAAGCGUGGGGAGCAAACAGG